UGAAUAUUCAUUGUUCUUUAUUAUUAAAGCAAAGUUAUCAUAUAAUUCCAUCAACAUACAGCUGAUCAAUUAUGAACUACAUAGUAUUUUGUUUUCUACAUACUAACUUCUGAUAAUAUAAACUCUUCAUAAACACUCCUGCUUUAGACCACAUUCCCGCGAUUUGUAGCUGUCCUAAUGAUCAUAAACAGACCUGUCAACACAAAAACAGUAAAAUGUCAUGCAUCUUUACCGAGAUAUUUGGUUGGUCAAUAUCCUCGAUUACUAGUUGACAAGAUUAUUAUUUACUAAUAGCUUUUAGACUUGUAAAAAAAGUGGUUUAUGGACUAAUAACUUGUUUUCAGCUUAUAUUUGAAAUCUUGGUCAGUUGAAAAUUAUUUGAAUGAUUUAGAAUGGUUUUGUAUGAACAAAUUUUUGAAACCAUGCUUAAAUAUGGCAAACAACGACAUUCCUCAGAAGUUGAAGUUCACGGUCCUCAUCAUCCUUACAACUUAAAAAUGAUCUAAUCGGUAUUAGUUCGACAAAACAACAAAAACUAAUUUGAAUAGAGUUCUAAGUCACAUUAUUUUUCCGUUAUUUUUGUCGAGUCAACAAUGAAUUAGUCAUCGUCUUAGCCUCAGGGAUAAGAAAGACCCCGAGCUUCUGCUUGUCGUUAGAGUUUCAAACAAUUUUCAAGGAUUGAUCACUACUGAUGAAGCACAGACACAAACAUCGGACAUGACAUAAAUCAUGACACACCAACACCAAUAAUAAUUUGAGCAAAUUUUACAAUUCAACGUAAUCAUAAACGUCAGUGUCAGACACCGAUGCGUGUGCAACACCAAGAUCGAGGAGUGUCUGUGUUUCAUAGAUCACCACCUAUCAAAGUAAUCAAUAGUAAAAAAAUUCCCUAGCUAAUUGCAUGCUAUACUAGAAGAAGUGAAGAACAUACAUGAUCCAACAACAACAAAGACACAAAAGCCAAUCAGAGCUAGGCCAGUUGAGAAGUUAAAACCCUUCUUUCCUGAUCCUUUCUUUGUAAGUUUCCCUUCAAACCUUGCCACUUUCCUGUCUGCUACACGUCUUGAUGUAGUCUAUAAUAUAAUCCAACAAAGUUACAUCAAACACAACAAUAAUCACCAAAAAUACAAGUCAUAAAUCACAAUUAACUCAGCUCAAUAUAAGAGAAAUCAUAACCAUCAAGCAUGUAAUAGACAACAAGAGACUAAGUGCAUAUUUGACAUAACAGUUCUUUUACCGAAUUCACUCUGAGUCACCUUAGUUCCGUAAAAUCACGGCAGAUCACUACGAUUUUGGGAAAACCACGGUAAUACCAAACAUGCUUUAAUUUUUUCCUGAUCGAACCAAAGAGACUCAAUUAUCUAUCAAAUUUUGACGGAUCAAACCAAAGAGACUUGAUUAUCUAUCAAGCGUGACCAUAUUAAUUGAUGUAACAAUUUGAAACCUCGUGGACAUGAUAUCGAUAAAAUGUAUUAAAAAAAUAUAAAAUCAAAACAAUGCUAUUAUAAUACACUUUUAUGCUGAAAAGCUAGGAUUUUUUUUUUAUCAAUUCUUUUAAGAUUUUUCAUAAGCAUGCCACGAAAACAGCUUAACAAAAUUAAGUAGGUGUCAGUAGCAUUAAAAGCAACACUUGGUCAUAAAAAAAAACAUGAUCACAAGAAUUCAUGUAAAUUUUUUUUAUCAUCAUCAUAAGGCACAAAUAAUUAAAAAUAAAAAGGAUGAGAUAUAUAAAACUUUACCAUAGUUUAUGAACCCAACAACAAUGACAACCCUUUGGACAGAAGAAUGCAGUUUUUUAAGAUAUAAAAAAAUGUAAUAAAACCAAAUGCAAGAGUUUCACAAUGUUGAGUGUAGC
rnacentral:lncRNA from 1 species